rnacentral:rRNA from 1 species
AGCAGCCGCGGUAAUUCCAGCUCCAAUAGCGUAUAUUAAAGUUGCUGCAGUUAAAAAGCUCGUAGUUGAAUUUCGGGAUCAAUAUGUUGGUCGUGCCUUGGUGCAUACUAGUUUAUUGAUUUCUCCCUUCUGACGAACUAUGAUGCCAUUAAUUUGGUGUCAUGGGGAAUCAGGACUGUUACUUUGAAAAAAUUAGAGUGUUUAAAGCAGGCUCACGCUUGAAUACAUUAGCAUGGAAUAAUAAAAUAGGACGUUUGAUUCUAUUUUGUUGGUUUCUAGGAUCGACGUAAUGAUUAAUAGGGAUAGUUGGGGGCAUUAGUAUUCAAUUGUCAGAGGUGAAAUUCUUGGAUUUAUUGAAGACUAACUACUGCGAAAGCAUUUGCCAAGGAUGUUUUCAUUAAUCAAGAACGAAAGUUAGGGGAUCGAAGACGAUCAGAUACCGUCGUAGUC